GUAUUGUGUGUGUGUAUGUGUGUGUGUAUGUGUGUGUGUAUGUGUGUGUGUGUGUAUGUGUGUGUGUGUAUGUGUGUGUAUGUCUCAGAGAAUCUCCUAAGAUUUAUAAAUUUUAUUGAUCCAAACUUAUAUAAUUUCCAAAGUUUUCAUUGCUAUUAGUAACAAUACAUUGAAAACCCUUGCUUGUGAUUAUGUGUUUGGUAUCUCUGCAAAGAUCAGGCUAUUUCAAAAUUAUAGUACCUUAAGGGCAAACUGGAGGGCAAAUAAGGACAUAUGACUAAUAAACUAAUUAAUUAAUUGGAAGACCGAUUCUUCAUAUUUUUGUUAUCCUGCUGUAGUUUGUCCUUGAUGUAAGCUCACCGAUGGAUCUGGAGAGAAAUCUUCAUCCCUCUCUCCAGAAAUCAUCCCACCACUGAUGGCCUCAAGAAGCCCAGAUUCUGUAGAUGGGAGCAUUUGGAAGACUACAACCCCUCCUGGGCCAUCUGAAGAUUGCAUGGUUCUUCUGUGACUGGUGCUAAGAUCAUUUCCUAUGUGUAAGGAUAUUUCCACUGAGCAACAGAGACACCAACCUACCCACAACACUUUCAACUCAAAAUUUAUCCUGUCUACAAGAAAUACAGGCACCAGACGAUGGAGCAGAGACUGAGGGGAUGGCCAAUGAAUAACCAGCUCAACCUGAGACCUAUUCUAUGGGCAAGCAACCCCUAACACUAUUAAUGAUACUCUGUUACAUUUGUUGACAGAAGCACUUUGUACUUUCAGAGGCUCUACCCAGCACCUGACUCAGAAAGAUACAGAUACCCACAGCCAAACAGUGGAUAGAGAUUGGGGAUUCUUAUGGAAGAAGAAGAAGGAUUAGGAGGAAGGAUUGUGGCCCCUAAGGGAAUAGGAGCUCCACAGGAAGACCAGUAGAGUCAACUAAACUGGACCCUUGGAGCUCUCAGAGUCUGAGCCACCAACCAAAGAACAUACACAGGCUGGACCUAGGCCUCCCCAAACAUAUGUGGUAGAUGUGCAACUUGGUCUUCAUGUGGGUCCCGAACAACUAGAGUGGGGGCUAUUCCAAAGGCUGUUGCCUACAUGUGGGAUGUGUUCUACUAGCUGGGCUGCCUUGUCUGGCUUCUGUGGAGGCUUACAGAGACCUGAAGUGCCAGGGUGUGGGGGAGAUACCCAGGGGGGUCCCACAUCCUCAGAGGAGAAGGGGAAGGGUGAUGGGGAAAGAAUUGUGGGAGGAGGCUGCCAGGAGGGGGCAGUGAGUGGG
rnacentral:lncRNA from 1 species